UGCAGAGACUGCAAGCGUUAUUCGGAUUCACUGGGCGUAAAGGGUGCGCAGGCGGCCAAGUGUGUUAGGCGUGAAAGCCCGGGGCUUAACCCCGGAAUUGCACCUAAAACUACAUGGCUAGAGCAUUGGAGAGGGUAGCAGAAUUCAUGGUGUAGCAGUGAAAUGCGUAGAUAUCAUGAGGAAUACCAGAGGCGAAGGCGGCUACCUGGACAAUUGCUGACGCUCAGGCACGAAAGCGUGGGGAGCAAAAGGG
rnacentral:rRNA from 1 species